UGGUCCAGCAGGACACCAUGCGAGUCCCUGCAGCUUGCUGCUGGCCUCCACGCUUUCGGGUUUGCGUUCCAGCAGCUGGAACACAACACAGAACCUAUUACCUGCUCCGUCCUGCUGCCACUUCCGGGUGCCGUUAGCCGGGAGCAGUGUGUGCGGCUGCUGGGCUCGAGCUGUGUGUUAGUGGAAACGAUGUGACAGGCACACCUGUUUCCACUGCCAUUUGCUGUGUAUUGCCGGACAGAGCUGCCAGGGUGGUCAGAGGUGAAGCUGCUUAAUCACCAGCGUAAGACAGUGUGCUGGGAGAUGAGGAUCGUCUGAAGAUGGAAGACGAUCUGAUUGGAUAGUAUGGGGGCAGGUGGAAGGUGUACUGUGCCUUGCUGAACACUGUCUGCAAGUUAAGCAGGAAAGGUCCCAUCCAGGAAGGAGAAGCCCAAAGAGGAGAUGGACCAGGGCGGCAUCUUCACUUACUAAAAUUAGCAAUUCCGUAGCCUAGAAAAUGGCACUUGCUAAAGAAUAUGUGUACAACAUGAAUUAGGCCCAAUGUAUUAAACUUUUCAUAGCAACUUAAGACCAAUAGCUAUAAAUUUAUUUUAGACGGCACAUAAAUCUUAAGCAGGAAAAGUAUCAUUAGAAAAGACAUUAGCUGCACUGGACAGAAUAAAAUAAGUCUGACUGAUUUAUUAAUGUGGAAACUAAAACUAUCAGAACAGAAACCAUUUUAAGAUUUGUAAUUCUUAUCCUGUAUGGCUUAGUAG